rnacentral:rRNA from 1 species
GUGGGGAAUAUUGGACAAUGGGGGGAACCCUGAUCCAGCCAUGCCGCGUGUGUGAAGAAGGCCUUUUGGUUGUAAAGCACUUUAAGCGAGGAGGAGGCUACCGAGAUUAAUACUCUUGGAUAGUGGACGUUACUCGCAGAAUAAGCACCGGCUAACUCUGUGCCAGCAGCCGCGGUAAUACAGAGGGUGCAAUCGUUAAUCGGAUUUACUGGGCGUAAAGCGCGCGUAGGUGGCCAAUUAAGUCAAAUGUGAAAUCCCCGAGCUUAACUUGGGAAUUGCAUUCGAUACUGGUUGGCUAGAGUAUGGGAGAGGAUGGUAGAAUUCCAGGUGUAGCGGUGAAAUGCGUAGAGAUCUGGAGGAAUACCGAUGGCGAAGGCAGCCAUCUGGCCUAAUACUGACACUGAGGUGCGAAAGCAUGGGGAGCAAACAGGAUUAGAAACCCGGGUAGUCC